rnacentral:rRNA from 1 species
AACGAACGCUGGCGGCAGGCCUAACACAUGCAAGUCGAGCGAGGACUUCGGUUCUAGCGGCGGACGGGUGAGUAACGCGUGGGAAUGUGCCCUUCUCUACGGAAUAGCCCUGGGAAACUGGGAGUAAUACCGUAUACGCCCUAUUGGGGAAAGAUUUAUCGGAGAAGGAUCAGCCCGCGUUGGAUUAGGUAGUUGGUGGGGUAAUGGCCUACCAAGCCGACGAUCCAUAGCUGGUUUGAGAGGAUGAUCAGCCACACUGGGACUGAGACACGGCCCAGACCCCACCGGAGGGAGGCGGGGGGGAAUCUUGAACAAUGGGGCAACCCUGAUCUAGCCAUGCCGCGUGAGUGAUGAAGGCCUUAGGGUUGUAAAGCUCUUUCAGCUGGGAAGAUAAUGACGGUACCAGCAGAAGAAGCCCCGGCUAACUCCGUG